UGCUCGCCAUCGCAGCACCUGCGUACAGCGUUGAUGAUUCAUUGACCUGCCCGUGGUCUUGCUAGAGAGAGAUCCGCAGAGGCAGCGGACCGUGUAGAGCUAGGUAUGCCUGCCGACGACGACAAAGCUUCCUUACUGUUGGCGUGGUGGGGGAUGUCUCACUGACUAUACUGGCUGGCUAGCUAGGAGGAGGAACUAGUCUUUAGUGGAGGGCUAUUAUCCAGUGACACACGGGCGAGUCUGUUGCUUGCUGAGGUGCCGAGGACGUGACUGUAUUCGUAUUUCACGCGUCCAUGGUCGUGUUUGGAUGUAGCGUGCGCAAGCAAUCGAGAGAGGUAGCCGCCACUAGCAUGUAAGAUGGCCGACGUGAAGAGUUCUGCGAACAGUAACCUAGGCAGAGGCGGUCGCCACGGCAACGCGGACGCCGCUGAGGAGAUGCCCCCGCUGGAGAACGGAGACAUCGUCGCCGAAGACGACGAAGAAGAA